AAUAUUUGUCAACCGGGCACACCCUGAUCCAGCAAUGCCGGGUGUGCGAAGAAGGCCCACAGAGGUAAAGCACUUUCAGUAGGGAAGAUUAUGACGGUACGUCCAAAAGAAGCACCGUCUAACUCCUUGCCAGCAGCCGCGGUAAUACGGAGGGUGCGAGCGGUAAUCGGAAUUAUCAGGCGUAAAGCGUAGGUAGGUGGUUGGGUAAGUCGGAUGUGAAAUCCCCGGGCUCAACCUGGGAAUUGCAUUCGAAACUGCCUCACUAGAGUCUAGCAGAGGGAUGGGGAAUUCCGGGUGUAGCGGUGAAAUGCGUAGAGAUCCGGAGGAACAUCAGUGGGGAAGGGGCCAUCCUGGGCUAAGACUGACGCUGAGGUACGAAAGCGUGGGGAGCAAACAGGAUUAGAUACCCUGCUAGUCCACGCCGUA
rnacentral:rRNA from 1 species